GAUGAACGCUAGCGGCAGGCCUAACACAUGCAAGUCGAGGGGUAGAAGGAGCUUGCUCCUUUGAGACCGGCGCACGGGUGCGUAACGCGUAUGCAAUCUACCUUGUACAGGGGAAUAGCCCAGAGAAAUUUGGAUUAAUGCCCCAUAGUAUAUAACCUUCGCAUGUUGGUUAUAUUAAAGUUCCAACGGUACAAGAUGAGCAUGCGUCCCAUAGUUAGUUGGUAAGGUAACGGCUUACCAAGACGAUGAUGGGUAGGGGUCCUGAGAGGGAGAUCCCCCACACUGGUACUGAGACACGGACCAGACUCCUACGGGAGGCAGCAGUGAGGAAUAUUGGUCAAUGGUCGCAAGACUGAACCAGCCAUGCCGCGUGCAGGAAGACGGUCCUAUGGAUUGUAAACUGCUUUUAUACAGGAAGAAACCCUCCCACGUGUGGGAGCUUGACGGUACUGUAGGAAUAAGGAUCGGCUAACUCCGUG
rnacentral:rRNA from 1 species